UCGAACAGACUUCCUUAUUUCAUUAUUGCACGAAUUAGGAAUUUUAAUCCAACAUCGAGGUCACAAACUUUUUUGAUGAUAAGAACUCUCUAAAAAAAUUAUGCUGUUAUCCCUACAGUAAUUAAUUUUUAAUUAAAAACUUUUUGAUUUUUCAAGAUUUAUUUAUCAUAAUUUAAAAAUAAAAAAUUUUUAUCUGCUGCCCCAGCAAAACAAUUUUAAGUUUAGUUUGAAAAUAAACUCUGGAUUGUUAAACUUGAUAGGGUCUUCUCGUCCCUAUUAGAAAUUUUAGCUUUUUUACUAAAUUAUUAAAUUCAAAAUAUUAUUAUGAGACAAAAAUAUUUAGUCAAGCCCUUCAUUCCAGUCCUUAAUUAGAAGACAA
rnacentral:rRNA from 1 species